UUUUCCUACUUCUCAUAGUAUCUGCUGGGAUGAAGUGUUGGAAGGGUCCUGAGACAUCCAGCUGCUAAACAGAAUAAAUAUCUGUGAAGAUUUUGCUCACGGUUGCCAUCUGCAGCAGACUUCAGUGAACUUGAGUUGGGCAGAUAUGAUACCCCUUCUACCACUAGAGGGCAGUGGCUGCAUGGUUUCCUUUAGGAGCUUUGAUGUCAUCAUCACAAGGCGUUUGAGAGACCGAGAGCUGCUCAGGAAAAGGAAAACUGAAGCCCAGGAGAAAGACACUAUUCAGGAGGAGAAAAACAAAAGGCAGAAGAGGGGCCGAGGAGCUGGAAGAGGAAGGGGCCGACCACUGGUUACACAGCCAGAGCCUCAGCUUAAAGAGUCAGAGAAUGAGCUGUCAGAACAAGCCCAGACCCCCCAAGAGCACCCUGUGAUCACAGUCCACGAGCUGCCCAGUGACACCCUGCAGGAGGCAGUGGAGGGGAUCUCAGGUGAGGGCAAUUUGUUUGCAGCAGGUAAGUUUCUGGGGAUCCUGUAGACUAAUAGGCUUCAGAAUGAGCACCCUCCCCUAGCUAUGUCCCUCAAGAGGAGAGGCACUGCUCAGACAGUGGACAGUCUUGGUGAAUCAGCCUAAAGCUUUGGGCCAUUGCUUCCCUCCAAGCUGCAGAGAGGAGCUUGUUCCUUCUGAACAACUGGCCCCUCUUACAGACCAUCCAUUCAUCAACUCCUGGAAGAGCACAGAGACUGCUCACAUCCUGAGAAGGGCUGAGAUCUGUGCAUCUCUGCCUGAUGCAAGUGGUUACAUUCUGCUCUUAAGGCCUUGUAGGUCAGUG
rnacentral:lncRNA from 1 species